AUAAAGCUGACGAGUCCCAAAUAGGAUGAAACGCGUCAUUGAU
rnacentral:hammerhead_ribozyme from 1 species